rnacentral:rRNA from 1 species
UACGUAGGGUGCAAGCGUUGUCCGGAAUUAUUGGGCGUAAAGAGCUCGUAGGCGGUCUGUCGCGUCUGCUGUGAAAACCUAGGGCUUAACUCUGGGCGUGCAGUGGGUACGGGCAGGCUAGAGUGCGGUAGGGGAGACUGGAAUUCCUGGUGUAGCGGUGAAAUGCGCAGAUAUCAGGAGGAACACCGGUGGCGAAGGCGGGUCUCUGGGCAACAACUGACGCUGAGGAGCGAAAGCGUGGGGAGCGAACAGG